UGAAUACGAGACGCUACGGCGUCGAAGCAGUCGAUGUCAUACUUCCAAGAAAAGCUUGCACUGUCAUAAACAAAGAAUGCCUGUACCAUAACCGACACAGGUGGGUAGGUAGAGUAUACUAAGGGGCGCGAGAUAACUCUCUCUAAGGAACUCGGCAAAAUGACUCCGUAACUUCGGGAGAAGGAGUGCCUUAUUUAUAAGGUUGCAAUAACAAGAUCCAAGCAACUGUUUACCAAAAACACAGGUCUCCGCUAAGUCGUAAGACGAUGUAUGGGGGCUGACGCCUGCCCAGUGCCAGAAGGUUAAAGAAGUUGGUUAGCAUUUGCGAAGCUGAUAACUGAAGCCCUGGUGAACGGCGGCCGUAACAAUAACGGUCCUAAGGUAGCGAAAUUCCUUGUCGGGUAAGUUCCGACCCGCACGAAAGGCGUAAUGAUUUGGAUACUGUCUCAGAGAGGGGCUCGGUGAAAUAGACUUGUCUGUGAAGAUGCGGACUACCUGCACCAGGACAGAAAGACCCUAUGAAGCUUUACUGUAACCUGAAAUUGAAAUUGGACUUUAUUUGCGCAGUAUAGGUGGGAGGCGUUGAGAAUUUUCUUGCGGGAAGAUUGGAGCCAUCAGUGAGAUACCACUCUUGUAAUGUUAGAUUUCUAACUUUGAAUCAUGAUCUGGUCAAAGAACAGUUUCAGGCGGGCAGUUUGACUGGGGCGGUCGCCUCCCAAAUGGUAACGGAGGCGCACAAAGGUUUCCUCUGAACGGGUAGAAAUCGUAUCUAGAGUGUAAAGGCAUAAGGAAGCUUGACUGUGAGACCUACAAGUCGAGCAGGGACGAAAGUCGGUCUUAGUGAUCUGACGGUGCUGAGUGGAAAGGCCGUCACUCAACGGAUAAAAGUUACUCUAGGAUAACAGGCUGAUCUCCCCCAAGAGUUCACAUCGACGGGGAGGUUUGGCACCUCGAUGUCGGCUCAUCGCAUCCUGGGGCGGUAGUACGUCCCAAGGGUUGGGCUGUUCGCCCAUGAAAGCGGUACGCGAGCUGGGUUCAGAACGUCGUGAGACAGUUCGGUCCAUAUCCGGUGUAGGCGUUAGAAUAUUGAGAGGAGCCUUCUUUAGUACGAGAGGACCGAGAAGGACAUACCUCUGGUGUACCAGUUAUCGUACCAACGGUAAACGCUGGGUAGCUAUGUAUGGAGAGGAUAACCGCUGAAAGCAUCUAAGUGGGAAGCCCACCUCAAGAUAAGUAUUCUU
rnacentral:rRNA from 1 species